GGGUCGGUGGCGUAGUUGGUUAUCGCAUCUGUCUAACAGACAUAGUACACAGAAGGUCCUCAGUUCGAUCCUGGGCCGACUCA